AAAUUGAAGAGUUUGAUCAUGGCUCAGAUUGAACGCUGGCGGCAGGCCUAACACAUGCAAGUCGAACGGUAACAGGAAGCAGCUUGCUGCUUCGCUGACAAGUGGCGGACGGGUGAGUAAUGUCUGGGAAACUGCCUGAUGGAGGGGGAUAACUACUGGAAACGGUGGCUAAUACCGCAUGACGUCGCAAGACCAAAGAGGGGGACCUUCGGGCCUCUUGCCAUCAGAUGUGCCCAGAUGGGAUUAGCUUGUUGGUGAGGUAACGGCUCA
rnacentral:rRNA from 1 species